AUUGAACGCUGGCGGCAUGCUUUACACAUGCAAGUCGAACGGUAACAGGCCGCUAGGUGCUGACGAGUGGCGAACGGGUGUGUAAUGCAUCGGAACGUGCCCAGUCGUGGGGGAUAACUACUCGAAAGAGUAGCUAAUACCGCAUACGAUCUAUGGAUGAAAGCGGGGGACCGUAAGGCCUCGCGCGAUUGGAGCGGCCGAUGUCAGAUUAGGUAGUUGGUGGGGUAAAGGCUCACCAAGCCAACGAUCUGUAGCUGGUCUGAGAGGACGACCAGCCACACUGGGACUGAGACACGGCCCAGACUCCUACGGGAGGCAGCAGUGGGGAAUUUUGGACAAUGGGCGCAAGCCUGAUCCAGCAAUGUCGCGUGAAGGAAGAAGGCCUUCGGGUUGUAAACUGCUUUUGUACGGAACGAAACGGCUCUGGUUAAUACCCGGGGCUAAUGACGGUACCGUAAGAAUAAGCACCGGCUAACUACGUG
rnacentral:rRNA from 1 species